UGCCUCAAUAGCUCAGUUGGUUAGAGCACUUGACUGUUAAUCAAGGGGUCCUAGGUUCGAGUCCUAGUUGGGGCGCCAU
rnacentral:tRNA from 1 species